UCCGGGGGGGGCAAUCGUUGUUCGGAAUUACUGGGCGUAAAGGGCGCGUAGGCGGGUGGACAAGUCUCUCGUGAAAGCCCACGGCUCAACCGUGGAAUUGCGGGAGAUACUGUCUGUCUUGAGUCCGGGAGAGGAGGGUGGAAUUCCCAGUGUAGCGGUGAAAUGCGUAGAUAUUGGGAGGAACACCGGUGGCGAAGGCGGCUCUCUGGACCGGUACUGACGCUGAGGCGCGAAAGCUAGGGGAGAAAACGGG
rnacentral:rRNA from 1 species